rnacentral:misc_RNA from 1 species
CAAAUUCAUCCUUCUAAUAAAAUCAAAAUAAAAACCCUAAAAAUUCCAAACAACUUCCAUCUAGUUGCAAAGCCACCCAAAGUUUAAAAUUUAUAAUUUUUAGCAAAAAAAAAAAAAAAAAAUCCAAGCCUUCUCUUUCAUCCACAAGGGCACACUAUUUCUUCAACCUCCACCCUUAAUCAGUGCUUCCUUCUAACUAAUAACCAUUCUCCUCCUCUCUAAUCUAUUUCUUUCCUUCUCUCUCUAUCCAUCUACAUCCCCUUUUCAUUUCCAGCUCUUCAUUGCCGCCCUUUUUCUCUCAUCUCCCUCUUUCUAGGGUUUUGGUUCUUCUAUUCAGGCAUAUCCAUCUCGCUUUCUCUCUGCU